rnacentral:rRNA from 1 species
CGGACGGGUGAGUAAUGUCUGGGAAACUGCCUGAUGGAGGGGGAUAACUACUGGAAACGGUAGCUAAUACCGCAUAACGUCGCAAGACCAAAGAGGGGGACCUUCGGGCCUCUUGCCAUCGGAUGUGCCCAGAUGGGAUUAGCUAGUAGGUGGGGUAACGGCUCACCUAGGCGACGAUCCCUAGCUGGUCUGAGGGGAUGACCAGCCACACUGGAACUGAGACACGGUCCAG